CCGGGGCAACCCGGUGAGUAAAGUGGCGUACGGGUGAGUAACACGUGGAUAAUCUACCCUGGAGUGGGGAAUAACGCUGGGAAACCGGCGCUAAUACCGCAUAAUCCCGAGAGGGCAAAGGAGCAAUUCGCUUCAGGAGGAGUCCGCGGCCGAUUAGCUAGUUGGCAGGGUAAAAGCCUACCAAGGCAACGAUCGGUAGCCGGCCUGAGAGGGCACACGGCCACACUGGCACUGAAACACGGGCCAG
rnacentral:rRNA from 1 species